UAAUGCCUGAAAUCUAUUGUGUAAAAAUAUGCCUAAGAGAAAGGGUGUCCAGAUUGGAAGAAAGUCUAAAAAAUCUUGAUUGGCAGAACUAAACAGAUUAAAUGAAACUAAAGAAGAAGCGGAAUGUAGACGUGAACAAGAACGUGUUCGUGCAUUUACAAAUAGAGAGAAUGAAUCCACUGAAUCUACACAACAAAGACGUGAACAAGAUCGUGUUCGUGCAUCUACAAAUAGAGAGAAUGAAUCCAUUGAAUCUACACAACAAAGG